rnacentral:rRNA from 1 species
UAGGGAAUCUUCCACAAUGGACGAAAGUCUGAUGGAGCAACGCCGCGUGAGUGAGAAGGGUUUCGGCUCGUAAAACUCUGUUGUUAAAGAAGAACAUAUCUGAGAGUAACUGUUCAGGUAUUGACGGUAUUUAACCAGAAAGCCACGGCUAACUACGUGCCAC